CUGUUGAUGCUAUAGCUAGCAGCAGCAGGGCAUUACACAUUGGAUUGAUUGAUACAGAGUAAACUACAGUGCCUCUGUUCAUGGAAGUGAUGCAACAUGUCACCCAAAGCAACAGUGGAGCCUGGCCUCAAACAAAUUACACCAACCUACAAAUAUUUUGUUCAGUGGAAGCGUGAGUUGGUGGUCUUUCGUUUUGCACAGUUGACAUGCCCAGCAGCAGAGCUAUAGGCGCUUUUGUUGCUGUUGCUGCAGUUCCACAGGAUGUGAGCAGAGAAAGACAAGCACGGCUGUCAGCGGAGUGUGAUUUGUUGCAAGCCCAGCCUUGCCAACUGUGAGGCGCUGAGCUCAACUGUUUAUGAGGACCAUGUGUGAGAAACUCCAAGAGGGUCCCCCGUUCAAAGAAAGCAGGCUCUCCUUUGUGAAACACUUUAUCGUGUGGAUGCAGAUGUGCUUUUUGUUGGAACCUUGCACCUCAUCCAUUACCCCCGGCCUGCCAAGGAGAUAGCACAGAGUGAAUCCAUUCAAAAGCACCAUGACAGAGCCGGCUGCUCAGCUGAACUUUCCAUGAACUAGGCUCCACAGUGGGAUCCAUGCAUCAAAAAAAUAAGUAAUUUCUCUUUGCUGCUCUGGCCUGUGUUUCAUACAGAUUGCUACUAUCAACACGUCCGACAUGCUCAUGUAUCAAUCUGUCAAUCUGAUAUUCUUUUGAACACUGUAUCUGUCUCCAAAGAUUCAAUCGAGGAGAGACUAAGAGUGAGCUGGGAGUUUUGUGACUGUCUUGUCUUGUUGAAUCAAGAUUUUACUACACAGUCUGUGAAGAUACACAAAACACACACGCACACUCAUUUGUGCACACUGGUGUCUGUGAUGUGGGUGAGAUUUUACAACAACCUCUGGAGAUGAUGAAGUUUUAUAUUUGCUUUUGCAAAGAGUUAUUGUUGGACAUAAUACUGAAACAUAAAUUAAAUGAAAAUUGGAGCACUUGAUCGUGUUUUCUAA